GAAAGCCUUGAAAUUCAACCCUGAAAGUUCAAGCAGUCUUCAUCCAUCUGUCUCAGAAAAAUCUUACUAGGGGAAGGAAGCUCCUUGUGCUAGGUGUGGAGUAGGCUGGAGCAAGAGCUCUGAAGAAUUUCCACUGUCAAUUAACACAGCCCAAUCCAAACACAUAGGGAUCAAAAAAUGCAACACUACUACUUACACAGAAGGCAGAGAGUUGGAUGUAUCUGGCAUCCACACCAGUGACCACCACAGUAGGGACCUGCAGGUUUGUUCUGCCUUUCUUCUUCUUAUCUGGGAAUUCCACCGUCCUCUUGAUGACCAAUAGCAGAAAAUGGAUGAAGAGGGCAGGUGUUGCAAGAUACAACAGAUCAUCUAAAAGUCUUGAUUGAAUGGAUAACCUCCACUUCCAAUACUUUUCAAGUCACAAAACUAUUGUUCAGCCCAGGCUGCCCCUGAGGAGAUGCUGAAGAACAAUGACUCCCCAAACUUCAGGGACAUUUAGAUGCCUAUAUUCCCCUAGGGCUCACCACAGACCCUGAUCUGAAAGAAGUAGAAAAGACAGAGGCUGGAGAGCAGGGCAGGCAGCCCUUGAGAGGGGCCCCAGGAGCCCAGUUGCCUUUCUCUAUCAGGCCCUGGUCAAGCAUUGCCUGCCUGAGAACACUGGAUCAAGGCCUUUACUAACCACAAAACCAGCACCUCUUUCAUGCCCUUGGGAGCUCUCCUCAAGUUGGUGUAAACUACUGACUCAGAUGCUGCUUCUAGCUUCCUGUGACCUUCUGAGAAAACUACAGCCGUGUACAUCAAAGGGAGAGAAAGAGGUUCAGAGAAAGAAACAGAGGCAGCAGAGGUGGAUGGGAUGAGAAUUUACAGGCUAGAAGAAAUACUUGCUGUGGGCCCUCUCUUGGCCAAUCCAAGACCAUAGGCUCCAAGGCAAAAAACUGCCGCGGUGAGCAUACUUGCCUCUCCGCAAGUGAAAAAUGCAUGUUCAAAUAAUGCCAGCCAUAUUAAAUGAUCACCCUCUGUCCAGGUAUGUAUAAAAAAUGAUCUACUGAUACU
rnacentral:lncRNA from 1 species